rnacentral:rRNA from 1 species
UACGUAGGGUGCGAGCGUUGUCCGGAAUUAUUGGGCGUAAAGGGCUCGUAGGCGGUUUGUCGCGUCGGGAGUGAAAACCCAGGGCUUAACCCUGGGCUGGCUUCCGAUACGGGCAGACUAGAGGUAUGCAGGGGAGAACGGAAUUCCUGGUGUAGCGGUGAAAUGCGCAGAUAUCAGGAGGAACACCGGUGGCGAAGGCGGUUCUCUGGGCAUUACCUGACGCUGAGGAGCGAAAGUGUAGGGAGCGAACAGG